GAGUUUGAUCCUGGCUCAGAACGAACGCUGGCGGCAGGCCUAACACAUGCAAGUCGAGCGGGCGCGAGCGAUCGCGUCAGCGGCGCACGGGUGAGCAACGCGUGGGAACCUGCCCUUUGGUACGGAACAACCCUGGGAAACUAGGGCUGAUACCGCAUACGCCCCGCGAGGGGGAAAGAUUUAUCGCCGAAGGAGGGGCCCGCGUCCGAUUAGCUAGUUGGUGGGGUAACGGCCUACCAAGGCUACGAUCGGUAGCCGGUCUGAGAGGACGAUCGGCCACACUGGGACUGAGACACGGCCCAGACUCCUACGGGAGGCAGCAGUGGGGAAUAUUGGACAAUGGGCGCAAGCCUGAUCCAGCCAUGCCGCGUGAGUGAUGAAGGCCUUAGGGUUGUAAAGCUCUUUUACCCGGGAUGAUAAUGACCGUACCGGGAGAAUAAGCUCCGGCUAACUCCGUGCCAGCCGCCGCGGUAAC
rnacentral:rRNA from 1 species